rnacentral:misc_RNA from 1 species
GGGUUGGUUGUGGAGCCGAAGAAAAACAAAUGCAUUUGUACAUGGCUAACUGGUGUUCAUUUUUACAAUAGUGUUGCAUGAGCUAGCGUCUAGCCAUGCCAAUUACCAUUUGCCAUUAAGGAAACAUUUCCUUGCAAUUGAUAGUUGGAUGACAUGCUAUGCAGCUUAACUUGUUUUAUAAUACUUGUGAGCAAAUCUAAAUGUCAUCAUAGACACUCACAAAGCAUCACAAGUAGGUAAAACUUCUCCUCACAAAUUAGUCAUUUCCACAAAGGGACAGUGAAAAAAGGAUAAAAGGAAAACAAUUACUCAUUUUCUUAAAAGUUUUCCACUAAUCUAGCCAUUAAGCUUUUUAUCUCCAUCUUACAAAUCAUUCAUCAAAAUGUCACAGCUUACUGUCCAUCACAUAUUAGACAGACUCCUAUACAUAGUGAUUGAAUGACCAAAACCUUGUUAGCUGUCAAAAGGCAUCAGCAAAAGGCUGCAGGAAUCCAAAACAUGCUCAAUCUAGUGAAAGAUAUGGGAUUCAUACAAAAGUACAACGCAAGAAUUGAUGCGUAAGAAAAGUUGCCACAAUUUCAUGAUAUCAAUUGAAUUUGUGUCCUAGCCUAGUUGCCCUCAGCUAUCCCCAAUCCAUGAAAACCAAGGGGUCUUAGGUUUCAGUCCCUCCAUCCACUAAAUAUUGAUGAAAUUAUUGAGCUGUUAGGAUUAGGAAAACAGGGAAGGGCUAAACUCAUUUUGCAUAGCAAGCCCAUUAGGCCUUCCAUUUUAGACCCCCCAAAGAAAUGUGAUUUUGUGAUUCAGAUAUUAAAAAGUUUUUAAUAAACUCACUUGCAUGGUUGUCACUGUUGUCA